GUCUUUGUUUUAAAAUUAGAAGCUCGUGGUUAGAACAUCCGCCUCGUAUGCGGAAGGUCGCGGGUUCGAACCCUGCUUGAGCCA